ACCGCCCAAACCGUUAAAAUAUGGUGAGAGUAAACCCCUCGUACCAUAUUAGGGUUUAAGAUUUGGCGCCUUGAGACUGAAAUUUUGUACUUGGAGCUCGACCGAAUCAUGUGAGCGGGAAUCAGCGAGGGCCGAGGGAAAAUGGCAACAAUUGCUGCUUCAAGAAUUCGAUCGGUGGUACCUCGGCCAGUGACAAUUGUGACCGGCAACGCCAAGAAGCUUGAGGAAGUUCGAGCAAUCUUGAGCAGCGCUCUGUUUCUUUUUCGGUCUCUCAAGCUUGACUUGUCGGAGCUGCAAGGCGAACCGGAAGCUAUAUCGAAAGAGAAAGCUCGUUUGGCUGCUAUCUAGGGCCAUACUGUAAGUUGCUACUUUAUCAAUUCCCCUGUUGAGGUAUGCCGAAAUGCACAAAGGAAGAAAAUAACAAAAUAUCUCAUUUCUCUUGCGCCGGUGAAAUCGCACUUUGCUGAAGCUAACUGUACUUACCAUUUCGAAGACUAAAGGAUAUCAUUCUAUUUUCAAAGGAGAGCAAAUCAAUGUGCAUUUAUUAAUUAUAAAGGGGUAUCAAAAUUUGCAAGCUUUAUUGGUAGGGGAAGGGCAUAAAGGUGGAGAGAAAAGGGCAGUGAUGAUGACUUGGUAGCAUGUGGGAAGGCACAUGCAAGAAUCAUCAACUGCCUCACUAAAUGAAAGUGAUUGCCAAUUACAAAACAACACAAUCUUAGUGAGUAUCUUAACUUCAUUAAUCACUUUUAUAAAGUUCUAAAAGCCCUUCCUUUAACUCUAAAAGUUAAUUUAAUUGGCUACCUUUCUUUUGUUUUACAAAGUUAAUUGAGUUCAAAUCACCUUCAUUUUCUUCUU